rnacentral:lncRNA from 1 species
UUUUUUUUUUACUUUUUUUUUUUUUUUUUUGCUGGCAUAUUCGCCAGCAUAGAGUUAGUCAAGUAGGAAGUCAUGUAUGAUCCUAGAUCCUUUUGGCAAUUUUUGAGACUCUUCCUUUCACCUUUUAAGGAGGCAUGAUUAAUUCAGAGUGACAAACAAUCAAAGUGAACUGGUGAUGUUUAUUGAAAUCCUAAGCUGGGUCAGAAUGACCCUUGUCUAGUAGGAUGCAAGAUGGGUAAAUAAGAGCUUACUCACAACAUUUAGAGUGUGAAAAACAGUUGCUAUUCCCUGAUUUACUUGUGGUAUCACUGAUUGAAGCAGAAUGCUGGAUGCAAUGAUUCCUAAGUGGUUUUGAAUGCUUAUGGUUAGAGUAUUGGAUUAACUGGGCUCACUUUAUUGGACAAAUCUCCAUGUAAAUUAAAUAUAGGGAACAUGAUGUAAAUUAACUAGUUUCACUGAUCCAUGGUGCCAGAGUGAAUUCCGGUCCUCAUUGAGGAUGGGCUGACAUUCAUACCUUUGGUUAGAUGGAGGCUGGGAAGAGGGAGCAGAACACCAGAAGAAAUAUCUUCUUACAGUGAGGUUGGGGGGUGAAUAGGGGAAACCCCAGCUUUUCUUAUCAUGGGUCAGUAAAAUCAUUUUUGAAGGCAUCUGGUCAUUUCUUAUGCACUUGCAGCCAAUUUAGAGGAAAGUUGUAUUUUAUUUUAUUUAUUUUUUAUUUUAUUAUUUUUUUUUUUGUCUUUUUGCCAUUUCUUGGGCUGCUCCCGCGGCUUAUGGAGUGUAGACCUGCAGCUGCAGCUCUGAUUGACCCCUGGCCCUGGAACUUCCGAUUGCCACAGGUAUGGCUGUAAAAAGAAAAAAUAAAUAAUAAUAAUAAUAAUAAUAAUAAUAAUAACUUUAACAAUUCUCUGUGGAUCGAUAUCCUAGUCAGAAUACAACUUUGAGUUCACAGAUAUCCUUGUCUCCAUUGCAAUGUUGCACCAUGUUUCCUCCCUUCUGCACCAAAGGAACUUGAGAUUAACUGAGACUCCAGAGCCAUGCCCACUGGUGAGAAACAGACUUCAGGGCUUUUCAUGUGACUACUACCAUUACCUCUACUGCCAGUAAGAUCCUUUACUGUUCUGACUAGCUUCCCUGACUAGUACUUAACUUUUUUCCCUUCCCAUUAGCUCUCAUCAAGCUGUACUGUAGACCUGAUAUCCUGCCAAAGACUUGUGCAUCCCCUUCCUAUGAAAGGGCUCUGCACUUGUGCCUCCUGCACUCACUUGGCAGGGAAUCCUGCUGGCCAAGAACAGUUACCCUUGAACUAUACUUGCCACCUGCCAGAAUCACAGUAUUCAACACCAUGUUUUUCUGAGGCUGCACCUGCUAGUCUGGAUAACCAGGUCAGUACCAAGUGUUUCUGACACUAUCUAAGUGUCUCUUUUAGGCAUUGGGUAUUUAUUGGUAAUCAGUUUUACCCCAUGCAAGUCUUCAGCCUUUUUCCCACCACAUGAGGACCCAGCACUCUUUUUGCCUCGCGGAGUCUUAGCGAUUAUUGUAGCUAUGCACAUACAACAAGACUCUUC